AUACGUAGGUGACAAGCGUUAUCCGGAUUUACUGGGCGUAAAGGGCGUGUAGGCGGUCUUGCAAGUCAGAAGUGAAAUUCCUGAGCUCAACUCGGGCGCUGCUUCUGAAACUGCAGGACUUGAGUGCUGGAGGGGAUAGCGGAAUUCCUAGUGGAGCGGUAAAAUGCGCAGAUAUUAGGAAGAACACCGGUGGCGAAGGUGGCUAUCUGGACAGUAACUGACGCUGAGGCUCGAAAGCGUGGGGAGCAAACAGGAUUAGAUACCCUGGUAGUCCACGCCGUAAACGAUGGGUGCUAAGUGUUGGAGGGUUUCCGCCCUUCAGUGCUGCAGCUAACGCAUUAAGCACUCCGCCUGGGGAGUACGGCCGCAAGGCUGAAACUCAAAUGAAUUGACGGGG
rnacentral:rRNA from 1 species